GCCGUCGAGGAGCCAUGUUGAGUGUGGGAACGCUGCCGGGCGGAAGCGGCGUGUUUGCACCGCGGCUGGACGGAGCUUCUAGCGUUCUAAAUUCUUCUAAUUGGGGUUCUUCUCUUUGGGUUGUUUUCUACAUGGAGGAUAGGGUUACACACACACCUACAGGACGCUCUCCUGCUGUGUCAUGAGGAUCAGAGCCAACCCCAUUGCUGUGUACACUCUUCAAACCACAGAGGAUGCAGUUCUUAAUUGUGGCCCAAAUCCCUGUGGGUUUCUUCUCCUCCCACAGAGCUGCUCAUCCUGGAGGAGCACAGGCACGGACACGAGGCCACAGCAGCUCUCCCGUUGUGUCAGACAGCAGAGACAUUGGAGUGGAAGAAGGCCCUGUGGCUUCACAGGGGAAAUUGCACACAGUCAUUGACUUUCCAUCCAAAAGAUGAGGAUUUUCUUUUGCAGCACCUAUCAUACUUGUUUGGGUGGGUUUUCUUUUUCCAUUAUUACUAAUGCAAAACUUGCUGAAACUAAGUUACCUUAACCAUGCAUGGAGUGUUGUAGCAAACUUCCACUCACUUUGGGCUCUGAGGACUCAACUACCUUACAGCUGCCUGAUGGGCUCAGUUUAGCCACGCAAUGGCACCGUUCCUUUCCUGUUAAGCAGGUCAGGUGUAUAAACCAUCUGAUGUCGAUGCUUGGCAGUACUGCCUGCACCUGGAGACAUCGGGGUUUUCCAGAUUCCAGGACCACAUGCCUGAAAUAAAUUUGGGUUCUCCUCUAA